rnacentral:lncRNA from 1 species
AAGAAGCAAUAACACUAGAACGAUCCCCACAGUGUAAGUAUUGCUAUAUUGCCUCUCUUUUUCUUUGUAGUUUGACUUUUGGAAGGUAUUUUGAAGUUGAUAAAAAUGUCUAAUUUCAGGUUUCAAGAUCUUAAACAUCAAGGAAGAUUGAUUAAUUUAUUUCAUAAUAGUUAGAACUCACGGGACGGUGAUCGGAAGCCGUGAGUUCGAGUUAUUUGAUUUGUAAUGGACUGUUUUGUGGGCUGUUUCGUGUAGCUUUUGGGCUGUAUAUUUUCUGCUAUUUAAUGGAGUUAUUGGAAGAUAAAUUGUGUGGAGAAACACCACCUAACGGCUAAAUGAUGGAUUAGUCAUUCUUUGUAAUAUUUUCGGGGCGUUGGACACUACUAUAGUCGUCG